GCGCUUCCUCCUGAAGUGUUUGUUUUAUGCCGGUGUGGAGUUCUUGGCUCCCGUUGUGCGUACAGACAAAGGCGGUUUGAUGUACACCUCAACAUGGUUGAAGACUUGGACAGACAUACUGAUGAAGUAGACCUUGUAAAGUGUUCACAACAGUCAGGCUUUUUGUUUUGUAAGCAAAGAGCGGACAAGGGAACAGCCGGGAACACGACACGGGGCUAAAGAAACAUACUUGAAGAGGCAGCGCGGGAACACCUUGGCAAUAAUACUCUUGGUGUGAGUGUCGUGAGCUACGCAGUUCACAUUAAUGUGCUACAGCUUAGCGUAUCUACCAGUGUUUCUAACGGGACAAGAAACAAAAAAGCAAACAAAAUUAACAUCUCGUCAUAAGAGAAUCCUAUUAUAAUAAUCAAACAUAAUAAUUAAACAGUAAAAAGGCGUACAAUGAUCACACCAGAAAUCAACAGUCUACUAUCUAUGUUAAAAACUGCAAACCUGAGAGAAGAGAACCAAUCCAUCAGUCACGAGUCAGUUACCCCACGGCAGCCUGAGAGAGAGGGUAUGCACGGCGCAGCUCCUGCGUCCUGUGCCACGCAUGUCGUGGGGAAAAGUUUAGCUGAGGUGUUUUGGUGAGGACUGUGAAGUGUGUGUUCGGUAGGAAUAACGGUCUCUCAAAUGUUGGGUGAGAGCACACUGCUCUACCGCGUGCCUCUCCGUCUGCACCUCACCACACGGGCACAGCCGCUCUUCCAACGGUCCGGAAGUGACGGAUAGCCACACUCCACAUAGCAGACCACGUUAGGAGUUGUUUUCCUCACCCCUAGAAGCUGCUUCAGUGACCAGUUGUACAGCUUAACCACUGGUUUUAUGUCCGCACCCACCCAGGACUCACAGCCAUAUACCAGGGAUGACAAGAGCGCUGCAUCAAACACACGUCUUUUAACUAUGAAUGGAAUAUCAAUAUUUUUCUGUAAAAAUGACAAACUUUAGCACGUGACAUAAUUUGUUUUUAGCAUGUAGCUUGACAGCAGAAGACACAGAACCGUCACACGUGAAAGGUGUACCCAAAUACAUAUAACUAACACAG